ensembl:lncRNA
GUGAACUUUACAGAGGGGAUUGACACGGGCCGCUUGCUGGGCGUCUGCUCUGGGGAAGACCAGGAAGACUUACUGAAGGUACGUGGGUGAGAACAUUCAAGAGCGUUUCCUUCUUUUGAAGAAUGGUCCAGUGUGAACCAUUAGAUUGUGUUUGAAUCAUAUGGUGAGGGACAUCUGAAACCAUCCUGAUUUUUGUGUAGGUUGGAACCAGAGCCAGUUUUUAUAACUCCCAGAGUUCAGCUUUCUCAUUUGAUCUUCAAGGUCACCACAAUACCUCCGGGUAAUUCAUUCUAUGUUUUUUUUUUUUUUUUUUUUUACUGUAGUCUACAUGUAUAUACUACAUCUACAUGUAUAUGUAGACUAUCCAACCAAUUUUGAUGUCUUCUGUAGCAUUGGACUAUUGGCAAACAUAUCCCACAACAUCUGCUUUACAUCCGUACUUGCCGUUUGAGUUUCAUUCAAAAUCACAGUUGAGUCGUGCAGGGAUUCAAGCACCCCCAAUAUUUUUCUCAGCUGCAGUCAUUUUUACCAUUCUACUGUGAAAUUUUGCAAGCGAAAUGCAGUCAUAUCAAUAGGAAUCUGUGCUAUAUUGAAUUUCAUGUGAGGAAUCUGACAGUGAGGACACGCUGUGGUGGAAAGAGAGGCUCACACAAUGAGCACAGUGGGAGGAUUUAACAAAGACAUGUCUCUCUUAUUAUAAGAAAGGCUCAGGGUUGGGGUUUGGAUCUUAGGGUAGAGAAUAACACUCAAAGAAAACUAGCUGAGUGUCGACUGGAUACUGUUUGGACGCCAUGAUCAGGUAAAGCCAGACAGAUGUUUUAGGAGUUACUUUUGUGGUUUGGUCAUUUGUUAUGACAUCUUCCAGAUAUAAGUCUCUUGUGUUUUGUUUUCAGGUCAGAGUUCAAGGCUCUUGGACUUUGGUAAGCAGACAAACGGAUUCCUUAGAACAGAAACAACCCUUUGUCUCAACAUUGACUCACUUUCAUAUACAUGCCCUGUCCCAUGCACCCGACUGGAGACAAAACCGCAACAAGCAGGCCCGUCAUUCUUGGGAGCACGGAAAGCCUGUAAAUGUUUCUGUAACAGUGAGUGAGCACUGGCAUGAUGACUCCAGCAGAGGGCAGGCCUGUAUCUUUCUCUCACCAGGACAGGCUUUAAUGUGGUCUGGAUCUCCCAGAGUGAACUCAGGCAAGGAGCUGUUGUACUCUCACACCCGCGUGUCUGUGUCCCGACACCCUCAGCACAACACCUUCACACUGUCACUCAGAAACAUCAGCAGCAGUCAGCGCUCCAACUACUCACUGAACACAGAGUGGCAGGUAGGAAACUGGAAUGUGGAAUUGGCCUGCAGUUCCCUGUCUUUAGGCAGGAAUGUGGCAAUCCAGGUUCAUGCAAAACUAGACCACAGUGAGAUGCUAUUGCAGCAGGGGGCGCUGGGAAAACGCUGGUUCAAGCUGCUGCUGGAUAUGACACGGAAAUGUCUGAUGAUAUCAGAGCAGUAUUCUGUUUGGAGGGACAUCACUGGUUUACCCUGGAGCCUCAGUGAGACCCUUACCCUUAUUUCUGAAGGAGCUGCCAAUCAGAGUCUGCUUUUUCAAGCUAAGGGAUACAGGGAAUGCCUGUGGGCCAUGGAGGCAAACCUCCAGCAGCUGGGGUCCAGGAUAAGGAGUUAA